GAUGAACGCUGGCGGCGUGCCUAAUACAUGCAAGUCGAGCGAACGGACGAGAAGCUUGCUUCUCUGAUGUUAGCGGCGGACGGGUGAGUAACACGUGGAUAACCUACCUAUAAGACUGGGAUAACUUCGGGAAACCGAGCUUAUACCCGAGGAUAUUUUGAAACGCAUGGUUUAAAAGUGAAAGACGGUCUUGCUGUUACCUAUAGAUGGAUCCGCGCUGCAUUAGCUAGUUGGUAAGGUAACGGCUUACCAAGGCAACGAUGCAUAGCCGACCUGAGAGGGUGAUCGGCCACACUGGAACUGAGACACGGGCCAGACUCCUACGGGAGGCAGCAGUAGGGAAUCUUCCGCAAUGGGCGAAAGCCUGACGGAGCAACGCCGCGUGAGUGAUGAAGGGCUUCGGAUCGUAAAACUCUGUUAUUAGGGAAGAACAUAUGUGUAAGUAACUGUGCACAUCUUGACGGUACCUAAUCAGAAAGCCACGGCUAACUACGUG
rnacentral:rRNA from 1 species